UACGGGGGGGGCAAGCGUUGUUCGGAAUUACUGGGCGUAAAGGGCUCGUAGGCGGCCAACUAAGUCGGACGUGAAAUCCCCAGGCUCAACCUGGGAACUGCGUCUGAUACUGGAUGGCUUGAAUCCGGGAGAGGGAUGCAGAAUUCCAGGUGUAGCGGUGAAAUGCGCAGAUAUCAGGAGGAACACCGGUGGCGAAGGCGGUUCUCUGGGCAUGAUCUGACGCUGAGGAGCGAAAGUGUGGGGAGCGAACAGG
rnacentral:rRNA from 1 species